AGAGUUUGAUGCUGAAUCAGGACGAACGGUUGCGACAGGCUUAACACAUGGGAGUCGAGGGGCAACGGGGGCUAAGCUGGCUUCGACUGGCGGCGAGCGGAGCAAGGGUGAUUAAAACUGAUGCGAGCUGGCCCCCGCAGGGGGAUAACCGGGAGAAAAUCCCGACUAAUACCGCGUAACGCCGCUGGGCUGCAUGGCCCGGCGGCCAAAAGGAAGCGAUUCCGGCGGGGGAUGGGCAUGCGGCGCAUUAGCUAGUCGGCGGGGUAACGGCCCACCGAGGCGACGAUGCGUAGGGGUUCUGAGAGGAAGGUCCCCCACACUGGUACUGAGACACGGACCAGACUCCUACGGGAGGCAGCAGUGAGGAAUAUUGGUCAAUGGGCGGGGGCCUGAACCAGCCAAGUCGCGUGAGGGAAGACGGUCCUACGGAUUGUAAACCUCUUUUGCCGGGGAGCAACGGGGUCCUUGCGAGGGCCCGAUGAGAGUACCCGGAGAAAAAGCAUCGGCUAACUCCGUGCCAGCAGCCGCGGUAAUACGGAGGAUGCGAGCGUUAUCCGGAUUUAUUGGGUUUAAAGGGUGCGUAGGCGGGCUGUUAAGUCAGCGGUCAAAUGUCGGGGCUCAACCCCGGCCUGCCGUUGAAACUGGCGGCCUCGAGUGGGCGAGAAGUAUGCGGAAUGCGUGGUGUAGCGGUGAAAUGCAUAGAUAUCACGCAGAAUUCCGAUUGCGAAGGCAGCAUACCGGCGCCCGACUGACGCUGAGGCACGAAAGCGUGGGUAUCGAACAGGAUUAGAUACCCUGGUAGUCCACGCAGUAAACGAUGAAUGCUAGCUGUCCGGUUCUACGGGACUGGGUGGCACAGCGAAAGCGUUAAGCAUUCCACCUGGGGAGUACGCCGGCAACGGUGAAACUCAAAGGAAUUGACGGGGGCCCGCACAAGCGGAGGAACAUGUGGUUUAAUUCGAUGAUACGCGAGGAACCUUACCCGGGCUCAAACGCCAAAGGACAGCCGUUGAAAGGCGGCCUCCCUCCGGGGUCUUUGGCGAGGUGCUGCAUGGUUGUCGUCAGCUCGUGCCGUGAGGUGUCGGCUUAAGUGCCAUAACGAGCGCAACCCCCAUCGACAGUUGCUAACGGGUAGAGCCGAGGACUCUGUCGAGACUGCCGGCGCAAGCUGCGAGGAAGGCGGGGAUGACGUCAAAUCAGCACGGCCCUUACGUCCGGGGCGACACACGUGUUACAAUGGCCGGUACAGCGGGAUGCCAGGGCGCGAGCCCGAGCGGAACCCGAAAACCGGUCUCAGUUCGGAUUGGAGUCUGCAACCCGACUCCAUGAAGCUGGAUUCGCUAGUAAUCGCGCAUCAGCCACGGCGCGGUGAAUACGUUCCCGGGCCUUGCACACACCGCCCGUCA
rnacentral:rRNA from 1 species